rnacentral:rRNA from 1 species
AUUGAACGCUGGCGGCAUGCCUUACACAUGCAAGUCGAACGGCAGCACGGGAGCAAUCCUGGUGGCGAGUGGCGAACGGGUGAGUAAAGUAUCGGAACGUGCCCAGUCGUGGGGGAUAACGUAGCGAAAGUUACGCUAAUACCGCAUACGAUCUAUGGAUGAAAGCGGGGGAUCGCAAGACCUCGCGCGAUUGGAGCGGCCGAUACCAGAUUAGGUAGUUGGGGGGGUAAAGGCUCACCAAGCCGACGAUCAGUAGCUGGUCUGAGAGGACGACCAGCCACACUGGGACUGAGACACGGCCCAGACUCCUACGGGAGGCAGCAGUGGGGAAUUUUGGACAAUGGGCGAAAGCCUGAUCCAGCCAUACCGCGUGCAGGAUGAAGGCCUUCGGGUUGUAAACUGCUUUUGUACGGAACGAAAAGGUUUGGGCUAAUAAGCUGAGCUCAUGACGGUACCGUAAGAAUAAGCACCGGCUAACUACGUGCCAGCCGCCGCCGUAA